GACAUUAGGAUGUUGAUAGUGGUUACAAUGGAUGAUAGUGGAUAAUUAUAGACAUGCUUUCAAAAUGGCGUAUGCUGAACAAUUUUAUUUUCAGUCAACUUGGAGCACACUUAAUCAUUUUAUGGCAAGAAUAGGUAAAUGUUGGCUGAACUGUAUAAAGUAAGGCGUUCAAGGAUGCAAUUCGGAAGCGUAAAAAAGACUUGAGGCAUAUGCAAGAGAACUAUCUUCACGUAGCAGACUGACAUUUGUGGUGAAUUCACUGAAUUGUUCUGGAAGCUAACAGUUAUCGGUUGUUAUUCUGGCUAUGUGAAACCAAUCUAUCUGCAUGAGUUCUAUCAUGAUUUUAAACAGCAAAUCGAUGCGUUGCGUAUGAGUUGUAUCGACCAGCUUACUACACAGUCAACACUUCACCAAUUUGGAAUUUGAAACAUUUUGGUGAUAAGAAUUUUAUACGGACGUAUCCCUGCGAUAAAAAGACUCACAAGAAAAACUGUUUUGUUCAGAGUAAGUCUCCGCUUGCUGAAAUCAAGAUGGCUUCUAACCUUGAACAUUUCAAACAUUACAACUCAAUGGUUGAAACCAUUGAACUAUUUAAUCAAGUUACAUUUGUUUCAUCGUGUGCAAUUCCUCUUUAUGGAUAUCAAAGAUAUAGACAGUUAUUCAAGAAUGAAAUAAAAUAUAGAAUGUUUUCAUUUGUUGAUUUGACA